ensembl:ncRNA B0365.10 ncRNA
GUUAUCAGUUGGUGCUCAUUGACGUAGUUUGCGAUCUGUGUUAAUAGGCACGGAAUCUGUCCUCUGCAAAAUGAUACGGUUAUUCGAUUGGCUUCUCUAAUAUGACUAUUUGAUACUGAA